ANAGCUUUGGUUCGAAGGCAGCUNGCGCGCAAAUUACCCAAUCCCGACACGGGGAGGUAGUGACAAUAAAUAACAAUACAGGGCUCUUUUGGGUCUUGUAAUUGGAAUGAGUACAAUUUAAAUCCCUUAACGAGGAACAAUUGGAGGGCAAGUCUGGUGCCAGCAGCCGCGGUAAUUCCAGCUCCAAUAGCGUAUAUUAAAGUUGUUGCAGUUAAAAAGCUCGUAGUUGAAUUUCGGGGUUCUACCGUUGGUCGGGCUUUGUCUGUACUGGCGUGUAGAAUUUCUACCUUCUGGGGAACCAUUAUGUUAUUAAUUUAGCGUAGUGGGAAACCAGGACCUUUACCUUGAAAAAAUUAGAGUGUUCAAAGCAGGCUUAUGUCUGAAUACAUUAGCAUGGAAUAAUAGAAUAGGACGGUGGUCCUGUUUUGUUGGUUUCUGAAUCACCGUAAUGAUUAAUAGGGAUAGUUGGGGGCAUUAGUAUUCAAUUGUCAGAGGUGAAAUUCUUGGAUUUAUUGAAGACUAACUUCUGCGAAAGCAUUUGCCAAGGAUGUUUUCAUUAAUCAAGAACGAAAGUUAGGGGANCGAANACGAUCAGAUACCGUCGUAGUCUUAACCAUAAACUAUGCCGACUAGGGAUCGGACGAUGUUAAUUUUUCUUGACUCGUUCGGCGCCUUACNGGAAACCAAANUNNNUGGNUUCA
rnacentral:rRNA from 1 species